UACAGGGGGGGCAAGGGUUGUUCGGAUUUACUGGGCGUAAAGGGAGCGUAGGUGGUUAGGUAAGCCCUCCGGGAAAUCUUCAGGCUUAACCUGAAAAGGUCGGGGGGGACUGCCUGGCUAGAGGACGGGAGAGGAGCGCGGAAUUCCCGGUGUAGCGGUGAAAUGCGUAGAGAUCGGGAGGAAGGCCGGUGGCGAAGGCGGCGCUCUGGAACGUUUCUGACGCUGAGGCUCGAAAGCGUGGGGAGCAAACAGG
rnacentral:rRNA from 1 species